UACAGAGGGUGCGAGCGUUAAUCGGAAUUACUGGGCGUAAAGGGCGCGUAGGCGGUUAUUUAAGUUGGAUGUGAAAUCCCUGGGCUUAACCUAGGAACUGCAUCUAAUACUGGAUAACUGGAGUGCGGUAGAGGGUAGUGGAAUUUCCGGUGUAGCGGUGAAAUGCGUAGAUAUUGGAAGGAACACCAGUGGCGAAGGCGGCUACCUGGACUGACACUGACGCUGAGGCGCGAAAGCUAGGGGAGCAAACGGG
rnacentral:rRNA from 1 species